rnacentral:lncRNA from 1 species
UUGUGAGCAAGUAAAAAUGCUUCUUGCACCUUGUUUCAUGUUCUGUGCUCUUGUUCUCUCUUUUGUUGCUGCCUCUUGCACCAACAAUUGGUAUCGAGAGCUCUUGUCUUAGUGGACCUGUUGCUUCAAAACAAAGAACUUGAUGGCUUCUUCAGGAUUUUCACCAGCAGCCCCACCAGUCUUCAAUGGAGAAGGCUUUCACAUAUGGCUGGUCAAGAUGAAGACUUACCUACAGGCCUUCGAUCUGUGGGAAGUUGUCAACACAGAUACUGAGCCAGCACCACUGAGGGCUAAUCCCACAGUAGCUCAGAUUAGGCAACAUGCUGAUGAGAGGACCAAAAGGCACAAAGCCAUGUCCUGCAUCCAGAACUGUGUGUCAGAUGUCAUCUUCACCAGAAUUAUGGCCUGUGAGACUCCAAAACAGGCCUGGGAUAAGCUCAAGGAGGAGUUUCAAGGCACUGAGAGAACAAGGCAACAGCAACUGCUAAACUUGAGAAGGGAUUUCGAGAAUUUGAAGAUGAAGGAAGAAGAAACAGUGAAGCAGUACUCAGAUAGAAUUAUGGCAGUGGUUAACAGCAUAAGGCUCCUAGGUGAGCACUUUGAUGAGGCAAGAAUUGUGGAGAAAGUCCUCUCCACUUUGCCUGAGAGAUAUGAGGCCAAGAUAUCCUCUCUAGAGGACUCAAGAGACCUUGCUAGCAUCUCUUUGACUGAGCUAAUCAACACCUUUUAUGCUCAGGAACAAAGAAGAGCUAGCAGAGCUGAAGAUCACCAAGAAGGUGCAUUUCAAGCCAAGGCCAGAGAAACCUCGAGCACAAAUGCUCAAAGAGGCAAAAGGCCUUGGAAAAACAGGCCUAAGCUUGAUGCUGCAAGGAGCAAUGACCAGCCCUGUAGAUAUUGCAAGAAACCUGGCCAUCCAGAAGACAGAUGCUGGUUUAGGCCAGAUGCAGUAUGCCAACACUGCAAGAAGAAGGGCCAUGUUGAAAGAGUCUGCAAAAACAGAAGUAAGCCAAGGCAGAAUCAAUUUCAGCAGUCAAAGGUUGAAGCUCGAGUAGCUGAGGACAGUAGUGACCAAGAAGAACAGGUCUUUGCUGUUUCCUGUGUAGCUUCUGAGAAGAAAUGGUCUAAAGGCUGGUUGCUGGACAGUGGUUGCACUAACCACAUGUCACCAGAUGCCUCCUUGUUUAAAACCUUGGACAAAAGUUAUAAAACCAAGGUCAAGGUUGGAAAUGGUCAGUUUAUAAGGGCUGAAGGAAGAGGAGAAGUGUUGAUAUGUACUCCCACAGGCAACAAGAUCAUUCCAAAUGUGCUGUUGGUACCACAGAUUGACAGAAACCUUCUCAGCAUAGCUCAACUGCUCGAGAAAGGUUAUUCUGUUGUGUUCAAGGAUAAACAAUGCCAUAUUACUGAUCCAAGUGGAUCAAGCCUUAUGACAGUCACAAUGACUGAUAAAUGCUUUGAGGUUCACUGGGCAAAUGACUCAAACUCAGCAUACACAGCCUCUGUUGAAGACUCCAAGCUUUGGCAUCAAAGGCUUGGACAUGCCAACUUCAGAUCAAUGGCUCGAUUGGCCAAAGAGGGCUUGGCAGAGAACUUCAUCAGCUCAGUGGAGCAUGAUGAUGUGUGUGAAGUUUGCCAAAUGGGGAAACAGGCAAGACUACCAUUUCCUACAAAUUCAACCUGGAGAGCUACUGAAAGACUGCAGCUGGUGCACUCUGAUGUAUGUGGCCCGAUGAGGACUGAAUCACUCAGCAAAAACAGGUAUUUCAUCCUCUUUAUUGAUGACCUUACAAGGUUUUGCUGGAUUUUCUUUUUAAAACACAAGUCUGAGGUAGCUCAAGUGUUUGUGAAGUUUAAAAAUGCUGUAGAAACAGAAACAGGUUGCAAGCUGAAAUCGAUAAGGACUGAUAAUGGCACUGAGUACACUUCAGCUCAGUUUCAAGCCAUUUGCAAUGAUGCUGGUAUCAAACAUCAGCUUACAAAUGUCUACACACCUCAGCAGAAUGGGGUAGCUGAAAGAAAGAAUAGAAGUCUGAUGGAUAUGGCCAGAUGUCUGCUGUUUGAGAAGAAACUGCCCAAGACCAUGUGGGCUGAGGCAGUAAACACUGCUGUUUACCUUCAGAACAGGCUUCCUACUAAAGCUCUUGCAUCCGAGACACCUUUCGAGGCUUGGUCUGGUUUCAAACCUUCCUUGGCACAUCUGAAGGUGUUUGGUUGCCUGUGUUAUGCACAAAUACCAGCAGCAAAGAGAGACAAGCUCUCUAAAAGGGCUCAACCAGGUGUUCUAGUAGGCUACAGCUCAGUCAAGAAGGGCUACAGGGUCCUGGAUCCCUUGAUAAACAAAGUCCAAGUGAGCAGAGAUGUCAUCUUUGAUGAAAAAGCCUGCUGGAAUUGGGAGAAAAAUGAGCCAGAAGCAGUUUCAGAAGACCUAGUGCCUAAUCAAGCUGAACUUGAGCAGCUAGAACCUGAAAUGGAUGUUGAUGAUGUGCCUGUGAGAGGCACAAGGCCCCUAGAUGAUAUUUAUGAAAGGGCACAGGUUGCAAUAGCAGAACCUAGCAGUUUUGAAGAGGCUGAGGCAGAUGAAGGCUGGAAACUAGCUAUGGUCAAUGAAAUCAACAUGAUUGAAAAGAACCAGACAUGGGAGCUUGUUGAUAAACCUGCUGGAAAGAAGACCAUAGGAGUAAAAUGGGUCUAUCGAGUAAAACAGAAUGCAGAUGACAGUCUGAACAGGCUAAAAGCCAGGCUUGUUGUGAAAGGAUUUAGCCAAAGGUAUGGUCUGGACUACCUGGAGACAUUUGCACCAGUAGCCAGGCUUGACACAGUUAGAAUGAUAGUUGCCUUGGCUGCUCAACAUCAGUGGACCAUUUAUCAGCUUGAUGUUAAGUCUGCAUUUCUCAAUGGCUUCCUGGAAGAAGAGAUCUACAUCGAGCAGCCUCAAGGAUUUGUGAUCACUGGCAAAGAACACAUGGUGUACAGACUGAAAAAGGCUUUAUAUGGCCUGAAACAGGCUCCUCGAGCCUGGUAUGCUCGAAUUGACUCUUACUUGCUCAGUUUGGAAUUUGAGAGAAGUCCCAGUGAACCAACACUGUAUGUGAAGAAGAACCAAGCUCAAACUCAGCUUAUUCUGUCACUCUAUGUUGAUGAUCUACUGAUAACUGGAGGAGAUGGAAGAAUGCUGGAAGAUUUCAAAAGAAAAAUGAUGGAAAUGUUUGAAAUGUCUGAUUUAGGCAGAAUGAACUACUUCCUUGGAAUGGAAGUGAAUCAAACAGAAAAGGGAAUCUUUCUUUGUCAGAGUUCUUUUACUAUGAAGAUCCUGGACAAGUUCUCUAUGAAGAACUGCAAGCCAACAAGCACACCAAUGGCUGUUGGAGUGAAGCUUUCGAGGCAAGGGAGUGGUGAACCAAUUUGUGAGACCAUGUACAAGAGUCUCAUUGGUAGACUGUUGUAUUUGACUGCCACAAGGCCCGAUAUCAUGUUUGCUGUUAGUAUGCUAUCAAGAUACAUGAAUUGCUGCAAUGAUUAGCACUUUCGAGCAGCUAAAAGAGUGCUGAGAUACAUCAAAGGCACCAUUGGUCAUGGUGUAUUGUUCAAAAGGGCUGAAAACAUGAAGCUAAUAGGCUAUGUUGAUAGUGACUGGGCUGGAUCAAGUGAUGACAUGAGAAGCACAUCCGGAUAUGCAUUCAGUCUUGGCUCAGGCAUGUUUUGCUGGAGUUCUAAGAAACAAAGUCUGGUGGCACAAUCAACAGCAGAAGCUGAAUAUGUUGCUGCUGCAUCUGCUGUGAACCAAGCCAUAUGGCUUAGAAAAAUCUUGACUGAUUUAAACCAAAACCAAAAGGAGGCAACAGAGAUUUAUUGUGACAACAAAUCUGCUGUUGCAAUUGCAAAAAAUCCCAUUUUUCAUGGCAGAACCAAGCACUUCAAUAUUAAGUUGCAUGUUAUAAGGGAGAUGGAACAAGCUCAUGAAAUCGAGCUGAUUCACUGCAACUCAGAAGUGCAAAUUGCUGAUAUCUUCACAAAGGCACUCAAUGUGUCUAAAUUUGUUAAAUUCAAAAGGGAAUUAGGUGUUACUAGCAUGGAAACUAAGGAGGAGUGUUAAGUUUAGUUCCCAUGUAAAGGUGGCCAUGCACGACAUGCAAAGGUGGUCAUGCUUCUGGAUUCGCAGCAAGCAGUGGUGCCAUGGUGUGCAGCAACUGAAGUUUGAAGCUGCCAAUCUAUUUGCUGUUUUUAGUUCCAUUUUGAUUGUUUUUGUAAUCUAGUUCAUGUUGAACUAAGUAGGUAAAUGUUUUGAUUUUGAUUGACUGAAAAGUCAGCAAUGCAAGUUGUACAAGCUAAUCUUGUAAGUUUCAAUGCAAAUUAGUGGAGUUAGGUAGUUGAUUAGGUGAUUACUUGUUUGAUUUACUAGUUGACUGAUAUAUGUAAUGGCUUAAUGCCUUGUUGACAAUGUUAAUGAAAGUUAUCAGCUCAUUUUCAUUCAAUCUUUUUCUCUCUUUCUAUGUUUUCACUUGCUAGCUUCAUCUUUCUGUUUUUCUGCUUCCGAGUUUGCUUCUUCACCAAGCCUCGAGGCUUACUACUCAAGCAAGACUUGAAACAGCUUGCUGCUGCCUCUUGCACCAACAAUUGGUAUCAUGAGCCUAUGUCUUACGGGACCAUUGAUUUUGCUUCCCCUACUUGUUGAAAAGAAAGAAGCUGUCAAAGCACAAGCAAGUCAUUAAGGACUGCUUGUAGAGAAGAUAAUAUCGGCUCAAACUUAUAAGAUCCCCAAACUAGCUUGAAUAAGCUGAAGGAGGAGUUUAAAGGAAAGGUGUGAGCUUUCCAAAUGUGCAAGCUUAGCAAGAUGUCAAAGCUGCAAGCUUAGCAAAGUGCGAGCCUGAUGAAGACACCUGUUGAAGACAAUAUGCAAAGAUGUGAGUCUGUCAAAGGUGUGAGCUCAGCAACAUGUGGAAGCUCAAUGCGUGUUGUAUAGUUGCAAGCCUCUUGAAGACAGUAAGCAAAGUGUGAGCCUGUCGAAUUGCAAGCCAAAAUGGCAGAAUGAAGGCAAGCAACUAUACUCACGAACUGUUUGUGCAAGAAGAAAAUGAAUUGGUCAGCUUGAAUCAAAGCAUCUAAGAGCUGCCAAGUUCAAAAAACUUGAUGAAUGACUGGUAUUUGCAGCAUGGAGUCCAAGGAGGAGUAUUGGAAAUUGGCCAACCAUGCUGCUGUUACAUUUUGUGGUUGAAGUGCAUGCAGCUUGAUGACAUGCUGCAGCACAUAUGCUUGCUGUAACAACAAGGUUUCUCUUUAGUUUCAUUCUAAUUAAUCUAGUUUAAAAUGGACAAGUUGAUGACAACUUGAUGCAUUAGGUGUUGAAUGACUAGUUUAGGUGGCUUGUUUAUGUGUACAAGCAAUGUUUUAAUAGUCCCAAUGCUGAUUAGUGGGGUUAGUUGACUAUUUGGUGAUGUAUUUGACUAUAAAUGUAUGUUUCUUCUAGUUGAAUGAAUGAGCUGAAUGAGCUAUCAGCCAUUAGCUCCCUUGCUGCACAUUUGUGAGCAAGUAAAAAUGCUUCUUGCACCUUGCUUCAUGUUCUGUGCUCUUGUUCUCUCUUUUGUUGCUGCCUCUUGCACCAACAGAAACCAAGAAUAAGGGGUCCGAAGAGAGCAUCAAAAAUCAGGAAGUUGUUCAACCUGUCUAAGGAGGAUGGUGUUCGGAAGUAUGUUUAUUAAGCUGUGAGUUUAUUAAGCUGCUUUUAUGAUAAAAUUCAAUGCAUUUUCUGAGAGCCAUUUGUUCUUUCUUUGGUACAAAGUUUGCAACAAUUCUAAGCUACAAUUUUUGUUAAGCUUAUCAUGGAUUUCGUUAUUUGCAUUUCAUGGUAGCUCUUUUCUUCUUUGUUUGAUGCUUCACAUCUGUUUUGAACAUUUUCAGGAUGCAGUUGAUAACAGGAAUGCUGCAGUAAAUUCUAGGAAGCCAGAAGUUAAAAAUGAUGUAGAAAAAGAGAUGUCUGUGAAGCAUCUGACAAGGAAGAAAAGAGUCAUUUGUGAAUUGCAAAUUCAACAGGUUAACCCCAAACUUGUUGGCCAUUCAAAGAAGAAAUCCAAUCACUUUCGUGCUCGUAGCUGUAAAGCAGCAAUUGAGGGGUAUAGCCAGCUUUCUCUGCCAAAGAAGUUUGUACCCUUCAAUCUAAUAAUUGCUCAUUUAGUAACCAUGUGAUUUGUAUUUAUAUAUGCAAAGCUACAUGACUUGUUUUUAUCGAGUGAUAAGUUCAGUGGGACUAAUAAGCACCAGUUACUUUAAAUUUUCAUGAACCCAUGGUAUCAUAAUAAAGCGUACAUUCUGGAAAUGCUUAAAUGUGUACUAUUGAGUAUAUAUUCAGCGGCUUUGAUCACUGAACCUUAA